rnacentral:rRNA from 1 species
UACAGGGGGGGCAAGCGUUGUUCGGAAUUACUGGGCGUAAAGGGCCAGUAGGCGGCCAACUAAGUCACACGUGAAAUCCCUGGCUUAACCUGGGAACUGCGUGUGAUACUGGAUGGCUUGAAUUCGGGAGAGGGAUGCAGAAUUCCAGGUGUAGCGGUGAAAUGCGUAGAUAUCUGGAGGAAUACCGGUGGCGAAGGCGGCAUCCUGGACCGACAUUGACGCUGAACGGCGAAAGCUAGGGGAGCAAACGGG